rnacentral:rRNA from 1 species
GACGAACGCUGUCGGCGUGCUUAACACAUGCAAGUCGAACGGAAAGGCCCUGCUUUUGUGGGGUGCUCGAGUGGCGAACGGGUGAGUAACACGUGAGUAACCUGCCCUUGACUUUGGGAUAACUUCAGGAAACUGGGGCUAAUACCGGAUAGGAGCUCCUGCUGCAUGGUGGGGGUUGGAAAGUUUCGGCGGUUGGGGAUGGACUCGCGGCUUAUCAGCUUGUUGGUGGGGUAGUGGCUUACCAAGGCUUUGACGGGUAGCCGGCCUGAGAGGGUGACCGGCCACAUUGGGACUGAGAUACGGCCCAGACUCCUACGGGAGGCAGCAGUGGGGAAUAUUGCACAAUGGGCGGAAGCCUGAUGCAGCAGCGCCGCGUGCGGGAUGACGGCCUUCGGGUUGUAAACCGCUUUCGCCUGUGACGAAGCGUGAGUGACGGUAAUGGGUAAAGAAGCACCGGCUAACUACGUGCCAGCAGCCGCGGUGAUACGUAGGGUGCGAGCGUUGUCCGGAUUUAUUGGGCAUAAAGGGCUCGUAGGUGGUUGAUCGCGUCGGAAGUGUAAUCUUGGGGCUUAACCCUGAGCGUGCUUUCGAUACGGGUUGACUUGAGGAAGGUAGGGGAGAAUGGAAUUCCUGGUGGAGCGGUGGAAUGCGCAGAUAUCAGGAGGAACACCAGUGGCGAAGGCGGUUCUCUGGGCCUUUCCUGACGCUGAGGAGCGAAAGCGUGGGGAGCGAACAGGCUUAGAUACCCUGGUAGUCCACGCUGUAAACGGUGGGUACUAGGUGUGGGGUCCAUUCCACGGGUUCCGUGCCGUAGCUAACGCUUUAAGUACCCCGCCUGGGGAGUACGGCCGCAAGGCUAAAACUCAAAGGAAUUGACGGGGCCCCGCACAAGCGGCGGAGCAUGCGGAUUAAUUCGAUGCAACGCGUAGAACCUUACCUGGGUUUGACAUGGAUCGGGAGUGCUCAGAGAUGGGUGUGCCUCUUUUGGGGUCGGUUCACAGGUGGUGCAUGGCUGUCGUCAGCUCGUGUCGUGAGAUGUUGGGUUAAGUCCCGCAACGAGCGCAACCCUUGUUCACUGUUGCCAGCACGUUAUGGUGGGGACUCAGUGGAGACCGCCGGGGUCAACUCGGAGGAAGGUGGGGAUGACGUCAAGUCAUCAUGCCCCUUAUGUCCAGGGCUUCACGCAUGCUACAAUGGCUGGUACAGAGAGUGGCGAGCCUGUGAGGGUGAGCGAAUCUCGGAAAGCCGGUCUCAGUUCGGAUUGGGGUCUGCAACUCGACCUCAUGAAGUCGGAGUCGCUAGUAAUCGCAGAUCAGCAACGCUGCGGUGAAUACGUUCCCGGG